CAAGAUUGAUCAGUCUAAUUGAAGACACCAGAGAGAGCACUUGUGUGGAGAUGAAGUUCUGUGGCCUUUUGAGCUGUUGCUUGUCGGUCCCAGAGGAGGAUAACGAUGAUGUCGCAGCAAGAUCUGAGACUGGACAGGAUGGCAAAAAAAACAGGAAGAGGAACGAGAGAGUCAACCCUAGCAAGAAAAAGCAGAGGAAGAAUGCUAAAAAGCUGAAGAAAGAGAUGGCUGACAGGAGACACCAGGAAGAAGCCGAGAGUGGUCAGCAGAAGAUGAUGGAGACUACUUGGGAUGAGGAAGUGGUCAUCAUGGACCAUCAGGAGAAGGAAGUGAAGGUGGUCCAUCUGGAUGAGGAGACCAGAGAGGGACCAGAGGAUGAGUGUGAGGGAGAGAGUGGUACGCAGGAGUCCGAGAUGACUAGUCUGAAAGAGCAGACACCUGUGAUGGCGGAAGAGAUUGUGGGGAAAGAGAGCGAGAGAGAGGGAGAAAGGGAUCAUGACAACAGUGACAUGGGAAGCAACACUGUAACACUUCCAGUGGGAAGUAUGGAGAAAAUAUGCAAUGUCUUUACCCACAGAGGGUUAUUGAGACAGACUGAGGAACUACUGCAGAGUGCAAUGAUCUUCUUCUUUUUGAAAAGAUGGAAAUGGGAAAAAAACAUUGCCCAUCUGGUAAAGACUGAGCUGAAAAGAAUGGAAAAGACCAAAAAGAAACUGAAGGCCAUCACUGAGACUAAGAAAGAUGAGGAAACAAAAGGAGAGGACAUAGAGGCUGGAGAAAAGGAAGAGGUGGACACAGCCCUGGAAACGAAAGAUAUGAUGGUAACUGAUGCACUUAAUGUGACCCUCAUUAAGGAGAGAGAGAAGAUGGAGGAAGACCUCCAGGAAAAAGGUGUGGUUGAGAGUGAGGGGAAGGGACAGGAGGGUGUUCAGGAGACAGAGGUGAUGGGGGAAAGAAAGCGCAGAGAGGAGAGGACACAGGAUGCACACAAGAAUGCAGGAGGGGCGGUGGAGGAAGUGGUGAUGAUGGAUGAAGUACCCACUGCGCAGCUGACAUCAUGCAAGAAAGAUGACUCCCUUGGCAUGGCCAUGCUGACAGAGCUGAACAAAGAGAAAUAUGAGCAAAAACCUUCUCAUCUGAUGGUAAAUGAAUAUGAGAGACAGGAGACCACCAAGGAUCAGAGGAUGAUGUCCAUGUCUGGAGACAGACAGAGGAGGGGCAGAGGAGACUCUUACUGGGACAGAGAACUCAGACACCAGAGCCAGGGACCUGGCCAAUUUGGACACACUUCCGCCGGGAGAAAUGAGAGAGCAGAAGUGAGACGAGAGCUGGGUAGAGAUGAGAACUCUUGGAAGAAUCCCAGAAAUGGAAGGAGGCAGCCAGCACAGAGGACUGAGGGCAGAGAGGUGUGGAGACAGGAGGAAGGCAGCCGCCACCAGAGAACCAGACAAAAUGGUCGACCAAACCGGUCAGAGAAUUCAACCUAUCAGCAGGCUGAGAGGGAGAGCUGGAGCGGGAGUCAGCAGCAUGGUUGUGGAGACCGACAGACCCGCGGGGCUCAACAGACCGACGGAGGCCGUCAGAGACACCAGCAAAGAGGAGGCAGGGGAGCACAGAGUGGUCCGCGCUCUCAAAGAUCAAAAGACUUCGCCACCAAUCAGGCGGGAGCAUCAAUGGCGGGAGCAUCAGUGACUGGAGAGAGCGAGGUGGAGGAGAGGAGACGGUUAUCUGGACCAAGGAGACGCAGGGAGGGAUCCAUGCUCCUCUCCACUGCCCUGAAUGCAGCAGCGCAUGCUGCACUGAGCUGCCGUGACGACAGCAACCAAGGAAGCAGGAGGAUCCUCCGCCAGUGAGAGGGGAGCUGUGCCAAUGUGCUUCCUAGCAACUGAUCAUCUCCAAAAUGGCAACCCAUCAUAAAUAUCAUUCAC
ensembl:lncRNA